CAAGGAGAAUCUGGAUCUGAACGACCCUGCUGUGAUGGAGGCCAUGUUGAAGCAGCUGAAACAGAAGCUGAGGGACCAGGGGCUGGACGACAACAUCAAACUGAGCUGGAGGAAGCAGGCCGAUGGAAAAGUCUUCCACAAGGAAGACAAGAAGACAAACAAGAGGAGGAGGAAGAGGGAUGAGCUGUAAUGUUGAGUUGCUGCGUCUGUUUUCAUCAGAGAAAAGUCUGUUUCUUUGCAAGCAGAAAUACUAAAUAUACUCACAGCUUCCAGCUUCUCAAA